rnacentral:lncRNA from 1 species
GGAUGUCAAGGAGGAUAUCCGUCAUCGGUUAAGAUGAACAUAUCAAGGAUAAACCAACCGAACAAAAAGUAGGAAUUACAUCUACCGAAUGUUGGAUAGAAUACCAUCAAAGAGAAAAUUCGUCACCGGUUAAGAUGAACAUAUCAAGGAUAGACUCUGUGAGGAGAGAAAUAGGAAUUACAUCUAUCAGUUACUGGAUAGGAU